rnacentral:piRNA from 1 species
GACACACAGAAGCGCCUCGGGAC